UACGUAGGGGGCAAGCGUUGUCCGGAUUUAUUGGGCGUAAAGAGCGUGUAGGCGGUUUGGUAGGGCCGCUGUGAAAACUCGAGGCUCAACCUCGAGACGCCGGUGGAAACCAUCAGACUAGAGUCCAGAAGAGGAGAGUGGAAUUCCUGGUGUAGCGGUGAAAUGCGCAGAUAUCAGGAAGAACACCCGUGGCGAAGGCGGCUCUCUAGUACGGUGCUGACGCUGAGACGCGAAAGCGUGGGGAGCGAACAGG
rnacentral:rRNA from 1 species